CAUUUAUAAGCUUAAAGACUCAAAAACAAGAUUCAAAAGUCACAAACAUUGCUAUGUUACGUGAAAACAAAAGCAUUAUUCUAACAGUGGUGAUGAUGGAGAAGCAGGGAUCCAAGACCCACAUUGCUGCCCCAAACACCUUUUGACAGGUCCCAGAUCUUGUAAAUGUUUCAGCAAUAUCAGAUUGGAUUGUGCAUAUUCCUCAUAGCUUUGACUGGUUUUUUAGCUACAGUACUGAAGUUCUUUAAUUGAUGGAUAAGACCAUUUCAGAAGCAGGCCUUGAAAGAAAGAGCUUUGUCAUUUGUGUGUGUGUGUAUUCAGAUGUAUUUCCCUUUGGAGAAAUUCUUCCAAGUCCUAAGCAUCCUUCUAUCCCAGCCAAAGCAGCCCUGUCUACGCCCCAGUCACAUCGUGCACACUUCUACUCUCAGCUGUGCCUCUGCCUCUCUGAACCACCUUGCCUUCAGAAGUUCCUUGAAUCUGUCAAAAGCCAGCUGAAGCCAUCUUCCUUCACGAAGCCGCCCCUGAAUUCUCCAGCUUUCCUGGGCCUGGUCUCUCCAUUUGAUUAGGGCACUGUGAGGCACUGCUUCUCACCUGAGAACUUAAAAAUAAUGCAGCCAACAAUGUUUUACAAGACAGCAUUCCAAGAACAGACCACCAAGGUCAGUGCGUAAUGGUGCAGAGCA
rnacentral:lncRNA from 1 species